ACAAGGGCGACCGAGUGUGGGAAGGAAGCGUGGAGCAUAAAUUGUGAGCCGAUGGACAAGAACCGGAUAGAAGGCGACAUACAGCAGGGCGAGCAGGCAAUUUUCUGCAAAGCCCUUAUGACCAAAGUCUGUGUGGCGUAAAUCCGGCGGUUGUGCAAUGAAGGAAUGCGUUC
rfam:Rhodoferax antarcticus ANT.BR grfa_new.contig.1_1, whole genome shotgun sequence.